rnacentral:rRNA from 1 species
UACAGAGGGUGCAAGCGUUAUCCGGAUUUACUGGGUUUAAAGGGUGCGUAGGUGGGCAGGUAAGUCAGUGGUGAAAUCCCCGGGCUUAACCCGGGAACUGCCAUUGAUACUAUCUGUCUUGAAUAUCCUGGAGGUGAGCGGAAUAUGUCAUGUAGCGGUGAAAUGCUUAGAUAUGACAUAGAACACCCAUUGCGAAGGCAGCUCACUACGGGAUCAUUGACACUGAGGCACGAAAGCGUGGGGAUCAAACAGG